AGCUCCAAUAGCGUAUAUUAAAGUUGUUGCGGUAAAAAAGCUCGUAGUUGGAUUUCUGUUGAAAAUUGCGGGUCCAUACAACGUAUGCGUAUCUCGUCAAGUUUCGGCAUCCUCUCAUAAGACGUCUCUGCGCUUGAUUGCGUGGAACGGAUUGUGGGACUUUUACUUUGAGGAAAUUAGAGUGUUCACGGCAGGCAAUCGCCAGAAUACAUUAGCAUGGAAUAAUACUAUAGGAUCUUGAUUCUAUUUUGUUGGUUUCUAGGAUUGAGAUAAUGAUUAAUAGGGAC
rnacentral:rRNA from 1 species